CUGGGCGGCGUUCUGGUUGCUAUGCCCUUUUGUGGCUGUUACAACCGGCCCCCACAACGCCCUUCUAUCACCUUCUUCACCGUGCUCUGAACUUUCUGGACAAAUGUAUGAAGUAUGAACCCAGACAAAGCCUCACUUCAAAGAGCCAAGUGGGUUGGGGCACCUGAGACCUAAUGAUGAUGAUGAUGGUGAUGACGAUGACAAUGAUGAUGACGAAGACGAUGAUGAUGAAGAGUUUCUGAUACUUGAGACUGAUGGAAGUUUUCACUUGAGUGUAUGAAGAGAUAAUCUUGGAGCCUGGGACACAAUCCAAGGAAGAAUUCAGGGACAAAGACGGAGCAGAGAUGGAAGAAAUACCAACCAAUGGCUGCCAGACCGGAGACCCAGCCCGCGGGAGAGAGCCCACCCGACACUAUUAAUACUACUCUGCUGUGC
rnacentral:sRNA from 1 species